UGCACGGAGGGGGGAUGGGGGGGUGAGAACGGGACCAGCUGAUCGUAACACCUCGCUGACCCGCCACCAGAGGGCACCGCCGACCACGUGUAUCUGUGUCCCUAGUGUUUGUGUGUGUCUCGCUGUGUGUGCGUCGUCUGUUGUAACUGUUAUUACCGUUGUUCCGUCGGGUGUGCGUGUGCAUGAAUGUACUGACUGUUUUGAGGUGGCUGUCGAUCUAUCAGGGAGCAGGAUGCGGCCAGGUGCCUCUCCUACUGGCUCCUCAACGGCCCCUCCCCUGCUGCUGACGCCCCUGAUCCUGCUCCUGCUGGCCCUUGCUUGUUCGCUCGUCAACGCAAGUAAGUACACAUCCUCUUGUUCUUACUAUAGUCUCCGCGUUUGAGGGUUACUGUUGGUACACUUAACAUACGACCGCGAUUCUAUGGCAGGCUGAGUGGUGAUCGGAGCGCCCGUCGAGGUCGCUCCACACGGCAGCCUCUCACCUUUUGCUUUUCUCUUGCGGGCGUCCUGGGAGGCGCUGCCCUUAACAGUCUUGGGGAAUGACCAAGGGACAGUCGGAGGGUGUUCUUGCUGUGAAAUUGAUCUUGGGGACAUUAUUAUCUCUAUUAAUAUCAUU
rnacentral:lncRNA from 1 species